UGACCGCUGGCGGCGUGCCUACUACAUGCAAGUCGAGCGAACAGAUACGGAGCUUGCUCCUUUGACGUUAGCGGCGGACGGGUGAGUAACACGUGGGUAACCUACCUAUAAGACUGGGAUAACUUCGGGAAACCGGAGCUAAUACCGGAUAACAUUUGGAACCGCAUGGUUCUAAAGUGAAAGAUGGUUUUGCUAUCACUUAUAGAUGGACCCGCGCCGUAUUAGCUAGUUGGUAAGGUAACGGCUUACCAAGGCGACGAUACGUAGCCGACCUGAGAGGGUGAUCGGCCACACUGGAACUGAGACACGGUCCAGACUCCUACGGGAGGCAGCAGUAGGGAAUCUUCCGCAAUGGGCGAAAGCCUGACGGAGCAACGCCGCGUGAGUGAUGAAGGGUUUCGGCUCGUAAAACUCUGUUAUUAGGGAAGAACAAACGUGUAAGUAACUGUGCACGUCUUGACGGUACCUAAUCAGAAAGCCACGGCUAACUACGUG
rnacentral:rRNA from 1 species